rnacentral:rRNA from 1 species
UACAGGGGGUGCAAACGUUGCUCGGAAUUAUUGGGCGUAAAGCGCGCGUGAGGCGGCUACUUAAGUCGGAUGUGAAAGCCCCUGGCUCAACUGGGGAAGUGCACCCGAAACUGAGUAGCUAGAGUGCAAAAGAGGGUCGCGGAAUUCCCGGUGUAGAGGUGAAAUUCGUAGAUAUCGGGAGGAACACCGGUGGCGAAGGCGGCGACCUGGGUUGACACUGACGCUGAGGCGCGAAAGCGUGGGGAGCAAACAGG